rnacentral:tRNA from 1 species
AACUUUAUAGUCAAUAUAUGAUAUUAGACUGCAAUUCUAAAGGAAUAAAAUAGUAUUUUAUUAAGGUUU